AAGUCGUAACAAGGUUUCCGUAGGUGAACCUGCGGAAGGAUCAUUAACGAGAAAAUGCUACUUCUACUGCGGUAGAGUGUAGUCAUUUAAUAAUGAUAAUUUGUUGAACGAUAGUCGCUCGUUUUAGCGUAAAGCUAAAAACAUAAUUAUGUUAACGAGUAUGCUAGUUGGUUAAUGAUGUGCGUGCACGCUUAAUUGCGUGCGUGUACAUAGAGCGACCGAACUACUGACUGCUACUCGGGGUACGGCCCGUAGUGUAAUGCUACGGUGAGUCGUACCUGUGUCAUUUUUAAAUUUGAGUAAUACAAUUCGCGUACGCGUGUUUAAGCGCGAGUACGUGUAGACUUGUAAAAGAGAGAAUAAUAAUAAAAUGCAUAACUGCAAACGGUGGAUCACUCGGCUCACG
rnacentral:misc_RNA from 1 species